UACGUAGGGUCCGAGCGUUGUCCGGAAUUAUUGGGCGUAAAGAGCGCGCAGGCGGUCGUCCAAGUCGCGUGUGAAAGCCCCCGGCUCAACUGGGGAGGGUCACGCGAUACUGGUCGACUCGAAGGCAGGAGAGGGUAGUGGAAUUCCCGGUGUAGUGGUGAAAUGCGUAGAUAUCGGGAGGAACACCAGUGGCGAAGGCGACUACCUGGCCUGUUCUUGACGCUGAGGCGCGAAAGCUAGGGGAGCAAACGGG
rnacentral:rRNA from 1 species